GUGUUGAGGGGGCCGGGUUGGAAUGUUCCUGCGCGGGUAUGGGAAAGUCCAAGCCAAAUGAAUAUGUUAUCAUCGAACCCACAAUAGAAUGGAUUGGACCCUCUCCAGCUGACUGCUCAAAUGCUGAUUAUUUUGAAUAUGGUAUCAGGGAGGCAAUGAGAUCCCUGUUUGGGGAGUUUGGGGCAUCUGUUCCACUAGAGGUGGUCUCGUACGAGCUGGCCCGCUGCCGGGCCAAGCUCCGCGUGCCCGCCGACGCGGCUGACCGCGUCACCGCUGCGCUCACGCUCUGCUCCCAGCUGCUAGGCACUCCUUGCGUGGUGCACGUACAC